UGAAACAUUAUAUACCAACAUCUCUGACAUGCAUAAAGUAUCAGACUAGGCCUAGUAAUUUUCAUUUCAUAACAUUUAGCUCGAAGAAUUUCUCAAGGAGCUUGAUAUAGAAAAAUAGGUAAGAAGUGAAAUUUUGUUACAAGCAUGGAGGAAGAUCAUAUGAGAGAGCCAUUGUUGGAGAAGCAGUACUUUAAGGAUUGCCCUGGUUGUAAAGUGGAACAAGCCAAAGAACUUAAUCAAGGAGUAUCCAUUACAAAUCUUUUGAUUAUUUGGAUGGUGGUCAUAUCUGCUAGUAAGCAUUCAACUUCUUAUUUUUCAUUUCUUCACAAAUUUAAUGUUACAAUUAUCUUCUUUCAGACUUUUUGUUUAUAUAUCAUAUUUUCAUUUCUUAAUAUGUGAUGUGAAGGAUCUAAAUUUCUUAAGUUUGGACCAAUCACAUCAAUUUUCUUACCUCA